GCGUUAGUGGUGCAAAAGGGCAGCAUCCUGCCCGGAAAGCAGAGCGCGCGGGUUCGACUCUCGUCUGGCGCA
rnacentral:tRNA from 1 species